rnacentral:tRNA from 1 species
CCCCCGAUGGUCUAGUUGGAUAUGACGCUCGGCUGUAAUGGAUGCAUCUGUAUAACCGAGAGGUCGCUGGCUCGAUUCCGGCUCGGGGGA